rnacentral:rRNA from 1 species
AUUGAACGCUGGCGGCAUGCCUUACACAUGCAAGUCGAACGGCAGCAUAGGAGCUUGCUCCUGAUGGCGAGUGGCGAACGGGUGAGUAAUAUAUCGGAACGUGCCCUAGAGUGGGGGAUAACUAGUCGAAAGACUAGCUAAUACCGCAUACGAUCUACGGAUGAAAGUGGGGGAUCGCAAGACCUCAUGCUCCUGGAGCGGCCGAUAACUGAUUAGCUAGUUGGUGGGGUAAAAGCCUACCAAGGCAACGAUCAGUAGCUGGUCUGAGAGGACGACCAGCCACACUGGGACUGAGACACGGCCCAGACUCCUACGGGAGGCAGCAGUGGGGAAGUUUGGACAAUGGGGGCAACCCUGAUCCAGCAAUGCCGCGUGAGUGAAGAAGGCCUUCGGGUUGUAAAGCUCUUUUGUCAGGGAAGAAACGGUAGUAGCGAAUAACUACUACUAAUGACGGUACCUGAAGAAUAAGCACCGGCUAACUACGUGCCAGCCGCCGCCGUAA